rnacentral:rRNA from 1 species
UACGUAGGGCGCAAGCGUUAUCCGGAAUUAUUGGGCGUAAAGAGCUCGUAGGCGGUUUGUCGCGUCUGCCGUGAAAGUCCGGGGCUCAACUCCGGAUCUGCGGUGGGUACGGGCAGACUAGAGUGAUGUAGGGGAGACUGGAAUUCCUGGUGUAGCGGUGAAAUGCGCAGAUAUCAGGAGGAACACCGAUGGCGAAGGCAGCAUCCUGGACCGAGAUUGACGCUGAGGCGCGAAAGCCAGGGGAGCAAACGGG